rnacentral:tRNA from 1 species
GGCUGUAGCUCAGUGGCAGAGUGCUUGCCUAGCAUGUGUGAGACACUGGGUUUGAUCCUCAGCAACACA